rnacentral:rRNA from 1 species
GACGAAGGAUGCAAGCGUUAUCCGGAUUCAUUGGGUUUAAAGGGUGCGUAGGCGGCCUAAUAAGUCAGUGGUGAAAUCUCCUCGCUUAACGAGGAAACUGCCAUUGAUACUGUUGGGCUUGAGUACAGAUGCUGUGGGCGGAAUAUGACAUGUAGUGGUGAAAUACAUAGAGAUGUCAUAGAACACCGAUUGCGAAGGCAGCUCACAAAAACUGUAACUGACGCUGAGGCACGAAAGCGUGGGGAUCAAACAGG